CCCGGGUCUUGUACACACCGCCCGUCACACCAUGGGAGCGGGAUGUACCAGAAGUAGGUAGGCUAACCGCAAGGGGGCCGCUUACCACGGUGCGUUUCGUGACUGGGGUGAAGUCGUAACAAGGUACCC
rnacentral:rRNA from 1 species